AGUGAACGCUGGCGGUAGGCCUAACACAUGCAAGUCGAACGGCAGCACAGUAAGAGCUUGCUCUUACGGGUGGCGAGUGGCGGACGGGUGAGGAAUACAUCGGAAUCUACUUUUUCGUGGGGGAUAACGUAGGGAAACUUACGCUAAUACCGCAUACGACCUACGGGUGAAAGCAGGGGAUCUUCGGACCUUGCGCGAUUGAAUGAGCCGAUGUCGGAUUAGCUAGUUGGCGGGGUAAAGGCCCACCAAGGCGACGAUCCGUAGCUGGUCUGAGAGGAUGAGCAGCCAGACUGGAACUGAGACACGGUCCAGACUCCUACGGGAGGCAGCAGUGGGGAAUAGUGGACAAUGGGCGCAAGCCUGAUCCAGCCAUACCGCGUGGGUGAAGAAGGCCUUCGGGUUGUAAAGCCCUUUUGUUGGGAAAGAAAAGCAGCAGGUUAAUACCCCGCUGUUCUGACGGUACCCAAAGAAUAAGCACCGGCUAACUUCGUG
rnacentral:rRNA from 1 species